AAAGCAAACCUAAAGUGGUAAAAGCGGCAUUCAGUUUAAGAUGCCCUAUAGCAUGAAAAUUGGCAUGAUAACACACAUACAGAGAUUGGAAAUAUACCAGAGCCUCUAAAAUUUCAUAUCUUUUUAAAGUGAGGGAAUAGAGAGUAUAAAUUUAAAUGACAGCCUGGGUUAGAAAAUAGCUUAAUGAUUAGAAUGUACCAAAUGAUACAACAGCUGCCUUUUGUCUCAAGGAUAGAGCAUUAAUAGCAAUCAGCAAAUGGUUUCUACGCUUGCAUGAUAUAUAUUAAAUGUUCUAGGACCUCGUGGACCAGUGAAAAUUCCUCAGUGCAUCAGCUGCUUCGGACUUCUGGCUAUCUGCUUGUCUCCAGGUCAUAUUUUGGUAAUUCUUAAAAUAGUUCAAACAUUGCACCAGCAAAAAGAUUAUGACUCACUGAAGGCUUGGAUGAUGGUUAGCAUUUUUUAGCAAUAUAAUGUUUUUUAAUUAAGCUUUGGGAAAAAAUAAAACCCGGAAGAGGAAAGAGCCUGAUGCUUUGGAGAAUUGCUAACCAUCAUGAUGUACAUGAUGAGCAUGGUGACCCAGUCACACAUACUGCAGCAACAUGGAUGGAACUAGAAACUCUCAUACUGAGUGAAAGUUGGAAGAAUAUCUAUGAAAAUGUAUAUACAGGCACAGGAAGACCGACAAACUUAGAAGAAAAACUGCAAUUGAAAUAUGACACUUACCUGAACAUGUUCAGUUUCCCAAACAACCAAAGGCACCUGAUUUGUGAAACUGAUCCGUGAAGUCCAGGGACAAAUUAUCCUGACUGUGAGGAUAGCCUCAGUUAAGACAACUAUGUAGCCAAAAGCACCAACUGCCUUAGUGACAAAGCUUAUAGGUUUUCUUCUCUAUCAGUGAAUGAGUCAGUAUCCACAAUAUUGCACAAAUACUUGUCUGUUUUUUAAUGGGAAAUACGUUUUCUCUGCUUUCAGAUAUAUUUUCAAGUCAAGAAAUUCAGAAAAAGAAAUUAAAAAAUCAUCUCACUACUUAGGAAAAAAACAAUUCAAUCAUUUAAUAAUAUAUGUGACUCAGUUCUUUUUUUUUCUUUCCAUGUAUUUCAUUGAUUGCAUGUACUUACCCAGUACAUUUUUUGUGUGUGUGCCUUUUUGUUUUUUUCCCUCAGGGCUGCAUCCAUGGCUUAUGGAAGUUCCCAGUCUAGGGCUCAAAUUGGAGAUGUGGUUGCCGGCCUGCACGACAGCCAGAGCAACGCCAGAUCCGAGCCUCAUGUGACCUGCACCACAGCUCAUGGCAAUGGCAGAUCCUUAACUUACUGAGCAAGACCAGGAAUUGAAUGUGAAUCCUCAUGGAUACUAGUCAGGUUUGUUACGGCGGAGCCACAGUGGGAGCUCCAUCAGUACAUUUAAGUACAUAUACAGUGUAUCUAAAAUCAUAUGCCCUUACUCAUUUAAACUUUUUUUAACUUAAUAAUUUUACCAAUAUUUAAAUAUUCUUCUAGAAGAAAAUUUUAAGUGCUAUAUUGUAUUGUAUCAAAUAACUGAAAAGACAUUUACAUUGCAUAGACUUAUUGAAUUCUUUAGCACAGGAAAUUGUUUUUCUCCUGUUUUUCAGUAUAAUGAAAGUGAAUUUUAAUAGAAAAUUAUGGCCAAUAAGGGAAUUAUCAGAUACGAUAACUUAUUUUUAAAAAUUUAUGUUGUUCAGUUGUCCUCCAGGAUAUUAUAAUUUACAUUUAUAGCAGAACCUUUAAAGGGCUCUUAUUUCUUUACUUGCAGGAAACUUGGGUAGUAUUUCUGUGUUAUAUGAGACAUAUAAAUUAGCUUUUCUGUGACUUGUACCUCAUGAGCAAAAUGGGGAAAAUACUAGUAUCUAUCUGCGUCAGGCCUCUGAUGUUCUUGAUGGUAAAUUUAGAUUAGGGAAAUAUUAUUUUGUUGUUAUUUUGAUUUUAGAAUCAGUAUACACAUUUUCUAAUUGCCUAGAUCCUUCUUAAGCAUUUAUAUUUAACUUAUGAUUUUUCUUAUUUACAAGGCUAAGAAAUUUGAAAAACAUUUUAAAAUGGCCUUUGAAUAAUACUUGGUAUCAUUAAUGUAUACAAUUGAAUUAAGGCAGAAUGCUUAAAAUACAAUUUAUACCGUUUGUAAUCAUUUUAACUCAUUCAAUUAUUUGAUUUAAAAUAUUUAUAGGAACUUAAGAAUUGAAAUUAUAAAAACUUAUCAGUAUGGCAAAAGUGUUAUAAAUGUAAUACUGUGCAUAAACUUAAUAAAAUUUCAAAUUAAAAUGAAAAGUCUGCAGUUCCCGUUGUGGCGCAGUGGAAACAAAUUCGACUAGGAACCAUGAGGUUGCGGGUUUGAUUCCUGGCCUCGCUCAGUGGGUUAAGGAUCCUACAUUGCUGUGAGCUGUGGUGUGGGUCGCAGAGGCAGCUAGGAUCUGGCAUUGCUGUGGCUGUGAUGUAGGCCAGUGGCUGCAGCUCUGAUUAGACCCCUAGCCUGGGAACCUCCAUAUGCCAUGGGUGUAGCCUUAAAAAUAAAGGCAAAAAAAAUAAUAAUAAUAAAAUAAAAUGGAAUAAAAUGAAAAGUCUAAAUAGAUAACUAAACAACAUAUUUGAAAUUGUAAUUAUGAAGCUAUUUUAUUAAAUUUACGGGUCAGAUUUUCUUAAAAUAACUACUUGUACUUAACUUAUCUCUGAGGAAUAAAGGAAAAUAAGAAAUAAUAGGAAAAUAAUAGAGCAUUUGUUUUUCUCAAAUAUCUCUUCAUCAAACUCUAAACUUUCCUGGUUUACAAUUUGAUUAUCCAUAAGUAUAUAAUUUGAUUAUGUUUUGGGACAUAUCUUAUCAGUACAAUAUUUUUAGUUCUUUAAAAAAUAUUUUAUUUAAAAUUAAUGUAAAAUAAAACUGACUCUUAAGUGAUCUAUAGUUCUACGAAUUUUAUCACACGUAUAGAAUUGUAUAACUCCACCAGAAUUGGAAUACAGAAGAUUUCUGUUAUCACACCUUCCAAAAUUCCCUGGUGUUGCCCUUUCUAGUCACACAUUGCCACUGCCUUUACCCCUGGAAAUGACCCAACCAUUCUCUCUCAUCACAGUUUUUUUUGCUAGAAAGUCAUGUAAAAGAAAUCAUAGAGUAUGUAAUUUUUAAAGACUGGUUUAAUUGCUUAAAAGAUUUUUACUUUUAUUUUUUAUUAUUAUUAUUAUUAUUUUUUUUGUCUUUUUGCCUUUUCUAGGGCCGCUCCCACGGCAUAUAGAGGUUUCCAGGCUAGGAGUCCAAUCAGAGCUGUAGCCACCAGCCUACACCAGAGCCACAGCAACACGGGAUCAUUGCCGUGGCUGCGACCUACACCACAGCUCACGGCAGCACCAGAUCCUUAACCCACUGAGCAAGGCCAGGGAUCAAACCCACAACCUCAUGGUUCCUAGUCGGAUUCCUUAACCACUGUGCCACGACGGGAACGCCUAAAGAUUUUUAAAUACAGCCCCAUUAUUGUGUUCAUCAAUUGUUCUUUCAUUUUUAUUGUUAGUACUCCAUUGUAAGGAUCAACACAGUGUUUAUCCCUUCACUCACUGAAGGACAUUGCAUUGUUUUCACUUUGAGAUGAUUAUGAAUAAAGCUAUUCUAAAC
ensembl:lncRNA